UCUAAAGAUUCCUCAGGCAGCCAUCCUCC
rnacentral:piRNA from 1 species